AAUAUAAUUACACAAACACUACAUACACUACAUGAAAAGGAAAGAAUAUAUGUGAAGAUAUUCCAAAUAUUUGCAUUCCAAAAAAUUCCUGUUCUUCCAAAUUCAUAGCUUUUGGUUCAGUGUUUUUUGGAUUACAGAUUCUUUAUCCACUCAGGAUUUUGUGCUACUAAUAUGACAAAUUACCAGUCCGCUGGACGGAACCAGAAACCUAGAGGGUUGAGAGUAAAACAGGCCCUUCAGUUCACAGUGAUGUUGGCCAUUUGUGUCUGGUUGUUGUACCAGAUCAAGCCCUCUCGUAAUGAGAAUAAAAAUCAUAGUCUAAGUACAUGGAGCAAACUUAGCCAAGAAGGCAGAACUUUGAUUUUAGGGAGGAAGGGGUGUGCAGUGUGGUCUAGUAACAGAAGUGACUCUGAAUCCAAGGGUGCACACUUCGUGGAAGAAAACGAUGUAACAGAUGAUAGUGGAACGGGAAACUGGAAGUCGGACCAAGUGCUGGACAAAGAGAAGGCAGUUAUGGAAAAUGAUAUAGACGAGAUUUCUACAGAAACAGAGUCUGGAAGUACUUUGGAACACCUUGGAAUGGAUAAUGAAACUAUGUUAGGCCAUACCGAAGUGGAAGAUGGAAACUAUAGCUUUCCUGAUGAGAAUGGAAUUCCAGAAGAACUAGAAAAAGAUUAUCAGAAAAUUAAUUUGGAUCAUUCAAGCAUCUCAUCAACACACAUCGGGGGCAAAAUGAGUAAAAGAAAGGCCGUUCCAAGACAAAAAGCAAUGCAACACAAAUUCCUAUCAAAAAAUAAAGAUGAUGGUACCACAGAAGAUCUAAAAAAUGACAUAAAAGCUGGUGUUGAUUCAAGUACUUUGAAGAUAAUGCAGGUAAAGAGCAAGUAUUCCGAUGAUUUCAGGGCUCAGAAUACUCUAUAGCAGCCAGAGGAUCAUGAAUAAAGCCCUGCUCGCACAAGCAGUAAAAGCACAGCAAGCAAAAUCAUAAUCCAGAAUUAGCAGAAACAUGUACAAAAAAUGUAGCCCCUGCAGUCAAUUCAACAGCAGAGUAACUUGUAAAUUCUCAUUUUCUCAUCUCUGAUAUGCCAUUUAAGGCUUUGGUACAGUAUACAGACUACAGUACGUUACAUGGCAACUGAAAAUAUUGUUGGCUUGCUGCUAUAUAUCAGAUUAUCAGUCAUCAGUUUGUGUUUAUUAUAUUGUAUAAAUUUAGUCAAGCUCAUUUUAUAAUA